AUUGAACGCUGGCGGAAUGCUUUACACAUGCAAGUCGAGCGGCAGCGCGGCCUUCGGGCUGGCGGCGAGCGGCGAACGGGUGAGUAAUGCAUCGGAACAUGCCCAGUCGUGGGGGAUAACACUUCGAAAGAAGUGCUAAUACCGCAUACGUCCUGAGGGGGAAAGCGGGGGAUCGCAAGACCUCGCGCGAUUGGAGUGGCCGAUGUCAGAUUAGCUAGUUGGUGGGGUAAAGGCCUACCAAGGCGACGAUCUGUAGCUGGUCUGAGAGGAUGAUCAGCCACACUGGGACUGAGACACGGCCCAGACUCCUACGGGAGGCAGCAGUGGGGAAUUUUGGACAAUGGGGGCAACCCUGAUCCAGCCAUGCGGCGUGAGUGAAGAAGGCCUUCGGGUUGUAAAGCUCUUUCGGCAGGAACGAAACGGUGGGCUCUAACAUAGUCCGCUAAUGACGGUACCUGAAGAAGAAGCACCGGCUAACUACGUG
rnacentral:rRNA from 1 species